UUAAGAAGUAAGAACAAAUCUAUACCAUUAAAUUCAUAAGAUCUAACGUACCAGAUUUAAGGAAUAAAAUGUUUUAAUUGUUUUUAUAUAACCAUUUAAAUUAGUUUUCUAAACGAAAAGGAUAUAUAUGUCAUUGUUGUUCAUUGAGAUUAUGGAAAGUUUCGCCCAAUGCCAUAUUUUUCGCUCAUUCCCUGUUAAUGGCUAUGAUUAUGAGAUUUCGACGAAUCUCUAUUUUUCCAAUCUUCAAUACUAUUUUCUUAAUCUUUCUUCAGUCAAUAACAUUUGUUGUUCGGUGCAUACGCAAUGGAUCUUGAGAACGAUAAAGAUUUAACCGUUCAAUUGGAUUCAACAAUUAUUGUAAACAAUAUCAAAUUCCGAACGGGAAAGCCAGGUUUUCAAGGAAGCACUAAUGGCAAUUACAAGAAUUUAUGGGGUGACUUUAGAGAAUAAUGUCCAGGGUCAUGCGCAUAUAUUUGUUUAUUUGUGAGCAUAGUUCAAGAAAUAUGUUCAUAAAUUCAUUAGAUAUUGAGAUAAAGUUCGUAAAAAUAUUACUUUUUCCAUGUAGGUUAAAUUCAUGGACACUGAUGAAAUAUGUGCUCUAUUCAUGGAUCAUGUAUGUGUUCGAUCUAGUGAACUAUGACUAAAUAUUUUUAACUAAUAUGAUAUUAUUCAAAAACAGUUGAACUUUAUUUUGCUAUUAAUUCUAAUUCUUUGGUAUUGAACUA